GACGAACGCUGGCGGCGUGCUUAACACAUGCAAGUCGAACGAUGAACCGGUUCUUGCCGGGGGUUAGUGGCGAACGGGUGAGUAACACGCCGGCAAUUCUCCCUGCACUCUGGGAUAAGCCCCGGAAACUGGGUCCAAUUCCGGCAACGACACUCCGAGGCAUCUUGGGGGGUGGUAGGUUCCGGCGGUGCCGGAUGAGCCCGCGGCCUAUUAGCUAGUUGGUGGGGUAAUGGCCUACCAAGGCGACGAAGGGUAGCCGGCCUGAGAGGGUGACCGGCCACACUGGGACUGAGAGACGGCCCAGACUCCUACGGGAGGCAGCAGUGGGGAAUAUUGCACAAUGGGCGAAAGCCUGAUGCAGCGACGCCGCGUGAGGGAUGACGGCCUUCGGGUUGUAAACCUCUUUCAGCAGGGAAGAAGCGAAAGUGACGGUACCUGCAGAAGAAGCACCGGCUAACUACGUG
rnacentral:rRNA from 1 species